GAUGAACGCUGGCGGCGUGCCUAAUACAUGCAAGUCGAGCGAACAGACGAGGAGCUUGCUCCUCUGACGUUAGCGGCGGACGGGUGAGUAACACGUGGAUAACCUACCUAUAAGACUGGGAUAACUUCGGGAAACCGGAGCUAAUACCGGAUAAUAUAUUGAACCGCAUGGUUCAAUAGUGAAAGACGGUUUUGCUGUCACUUAUAGAUGGAUCCGCGCCGCAUUAGCUAGUUGGUAAGGUAACGGCUUACCAAGGCAACGAUGCGUAGCCAACCUGAGAGGGUGGUCUGCCACCAAGGAGCUGAGACACGGGCAGGAUGCCUACGGGAGGACGGGUAAGGGAAUCUACGUCGACAGUCGAAAGGCUGAUAUGCUAAUGUCGCAAGAAUGAUGAAGGUCUCCGGAUAGUAAUAAUAUGUUAUUAGUGAACAAAAAAAGUGUAUGUAACUAGGCACGUCUUGACGGUACCCUAUAACAAAGACCCGGCUAACUUGGUA
rnacentral:rRNA from 1 species